CAGGAAUGCCAGGUGAAGAAGCCGGCCUCUCGCUCCAGGAAAGAGCCACAAGAAGCUGGGCAGCAGCCACUGCAGAGCCUGAUCAGAAGUUCGCUCCCUCUGUCACUGUGUGCAGCUUGCCAGGCUCCACAUGGGCUGGGCAGAUCCAGACUCCACUGGUCCUGGCUUUCCUGAGUGAGGUUGUUCGGAUUAAGCUCUCUUCCACCUGGCUGCUCCAUGACUCCCCAGGUUCACAAAGUCCCUUUCUUCUGCCAUGUCCUUCACAUCAAGCGUCUCUCAAGGCUCAUCACCUGCCUGUCAGACUGGGGAUAUCACUGAGCUGAAACCCUGGGGUGACAGGGAGGCAGAAAAAGGGCUCUGGCCCCAUGUUAUAGGCUUGGGUGGGACAUGGAUCUGCUGCUGAGGAGCCAACUUGUGUCCUGCAGGGACAGUUCUCCAUGCAGAGAUUACAAGCUGAGAGGGUUCCCAUCAGGAAUGUUGGUGCAGUCCAUCACCAGCCUGAGACAUCUCUUCUUCAGGGGUGAGUUUCAGACCUGGACCUGUUGCCUUGUGCCAGCAAAUUGCAUCUUCCACAGUCUCUAAUUCCCCUGACCCUUCCUGCUGAGCUUUGCCCUCUGCUUCUCUCCCUGUGGGAGCUUCCCAGGUAUGUCAUGGAGUCUGCUCCCAAAGACCUUUGAACAGCAUAGGAGUGUCCUCAGAGUCAGCCAGGGUGUUUUCCACCUUCUUGUGAAAAAAUGUCCCCCCUUGAAGGUGUGACUUACUGAUACUGAAGCUUUAACCCCAGUGUUAAUCCCCCUGCAGAGGUGACUUCCAGCCAUCCAUGAUCAUGGUAUCUCAGCCAGGUAAGAUGAGGGACUCUUUGGCAUUGUGCCUCAUCCACACACAUAUUCCCAGGGCUUUCUAUGAGGCUGGAUGUGGGAAGGACCUAUCUACCUGGCAUCACUCUGGCUGGAAAAAGCCUCUGAGCGCUGCCCUGGUGAAACAUUAAUAUUUUCGGAAACAGGGAGCAGGUAGGAACAGCCUGUACUGUUGUGACAGAGCUGCUUGCACGAGAUGAACCUCACUGCCAGGGUUGGGAUGAGUGCACGUGGCUCAUGUGGGGUAAAGGUAUGAGCUGUGGAAGGGCCAGCAGGACAGCAUGGAAGCACUGGCAAACAAGCCAUAACUGCUUGCUCUCUUACCCUGCAGGCUCCCACAUCCCUCAUCCCAAUCCUUGCCCUGCAGCUCUCUGUGCAGAGCAGCACUGCCACAGGCAAGCAGCCCGGAUACGUUGCUGGGUCUUGGAUUAGACCUGCCUUAUUCUUGGAGAAGCUGAAUUCACCAGCAGGCAGCCCCCUGUCCCAGCACCAGCUGCGGGGCUUGGCGUAGGUUUGCAAGGCACCCCUUGACCUCAGCAUCGCCCACGUCCUUACAGCCUUGCUUUAAUCCUUUUUUAAUUAACUGCUGAGGGGUGUGAUGGUAUCAGAAGGGUAGGAGGGGGGUGGCCUGGGGUGUUUUGGGCUUGGUGUGUGUGCCAGCCAGCUGGGUUUGUUGUGAGCGUGUCAGAUCUCACAGGCUAGCGUUCUCCCUCCAGAUCCGGUUGCAGCUCAGGCAUUGCGUGGAUCAUCCCUGCGGCUCUUGCACUGCUCAGGGAUCCUGCCGUGUCCCACCUGGCAGGUGCUGGCAAAUCAAAGAUUCGCAUGAAAUUGGCAGCUGAAAGGCAAAAUGGCUUCUCUGACGGCACAGAAUGCUGGGGAGGAGGUUUGACUUCAGUCAGAAAACCCUGGUUAGAGCAGAGAUGGAGUGGCCACAGGGAUGUCUGAGAUGGGAAUGGGGGUGAGGUCAGCAGUUUGUUGGUCAGUGAGAUCAUGCAAAAGGUUCCUAAGGGGUUUGGGUUUGUCAGUGCUUGGUGGUGGGUUUUCACAGGGAUUCAACAACCUGCUUUUCUGGGGUUUGACUUGAGGAUAAGGCAUAUCCUGGCUUUCCACACCCCCUACAUCUCCACCAUGGGGCACCUCCGUUGCCCAGAGUGUCUCCAGGGAUCUAAUGCUCCUGGAGAGAAGAAGUUGCACACUGGACCUGAAUGCCAUGAAAGUGGUUGUCCCCCAGCUUAAAGCAGCCCCUGGCUGAAAGGAUGAGGUGAUCUGGGGACAGAUUACCUGCCUCUACCCAUGGGCCUGCAAGAAGGCAGGAUGACUGGAACUGAGAUCCCAGGCUGCUGGCACUACCAGCAUCACCAAAAAUGUGCUGGGGGUCAGUGGAGACUAUGAGAGCAUGUGAUGUUGAGUC